rnacentral:rRNA from 1 species
GAUGAACGCUGGCGGCGUGCCUAAUACAUGCAAGUCGAGCGAACAGACGAGGAGCUUGCUCCUCUGACGUUAGCGGCGAACGGGGGAGUAACACGUGGAUAACCUACCUAUAAGACUGGGAUAACUUCGGGAAACCGGAGCUAAUACCGGAUAAUAUAUUGAACCGCAUGGUUCAAUAGUGAAAGACGGUUUUGCUGUCACUUAUAGAUGGAUCCGCGCCGCAUUAGCUAGUUGGUAAGGUAACGGCUUACCAAGGCAACGAUGCGUAGCCGACCUGAGAGGGUGAUCGGCCACACUGGAACUGAGACACGGUCCAGACUCCUACGGGAGGCAGCAGUAGGGAAUCUUCCGCAAUGGGCGAAAGCCUGACGGAGCAACGCCGCGUGAGUGAUGAAGGUCUUCGGAUCGUAAAACUCUGUUAUUAGGGAAGAACAAAUGUGUAAGUAACUAUGCACGUCUUGACGGUACCUAAUCAGAAAGCCACGGCUAACUACGUG